ACAUGCAAGUCGAACGGUAACAGGUCUUCGGAUGCUGACGAGUGGCGAACGGGUGAGUAAUACAUCGGAACGUGCCUAGUAGUGGGGGAUAACUACUCGAAAGAGUAGCUAAUACCGCAUGAGAUCUACGGAUGAAAGCAGGGGACCUUCGGGCCUUGUGCUACUAGAGCGGCUGAUGGCAGAUUAGGUAGUUGGUGGGGUAAAGGCUUACCAAGCCUGCGAUCUGUAGCUGGUCUGAGAGGACGACCAGCCACACUGGGACUGAGACACGGCCCAGACUCCUACGGGAGGCAGCAGUGGGGAAUUUUGGACAAUGGGCGAAAGCCUGAUCCAGCAAUGCCGCGUGCAGGAUGAAGGCCCUCGGGUUGUAAACUGCUUUUGUACGGAACGAAAAGCCUGGGGCUAAUACCCCCGGGUCAUGACGGUACCGUAAGAAUAAGCACCGGCUAACUACGUGCCAGCAGCCGCGGUAAUACGUAGGGUGCAAGCGUUAAUCGGAAUUACUGGGCGUAAAGCGUGCGCAGGCGGUUUUGUAAGACAGUGGUGAAAUCCCCGGGCUCAACCUGGGAACUGCCAUUGUGACUGCAAGGCUAGAGUGCGGCAGAGGGGGAUGGAAUUCCGCGUGUAGCAGUGAGAUGCGUAGAUAUGCGGAGGAACACCGAUGGCGAAGGCAAUCCCCUGGGCCUGCA
rnacentral:rRNA from 1 species